rnacentral:rRNA from 1 species
AGCGAACGCUGGCGGCAGGCUUAACACAUGCAAGUCGAACGGACCCUUCGGGGUUAGUGGCGGACGGGUGAGUAACACGUGGGAACGUGCCUUUAGGUUCGGAACAACACAGGGAAACUUGUGCUAAUACCGGAUGUGCCCUUCGGGGAAGGAUUAUCGCCUUUAGAGCGGCCCGCGUCUGAUUAGCUAGUUGGUGGGGUAAAGGCUCACCAAGGCUACGAUCAGUAGCUGGUCUGAGAGGAUGGCCAGCCACAUUGGGACUGAGACACGGCCCAAACUCCUACGGGAGGCAGCAGUGGGGAAUCUUGCGCAAUGGGCGAAAGCCUGACGCAGCCAUGCCGCGUGGAUGAUGAAGGUCUUAGGAUUGUAAAAUCCUUUCAGCGGGGACGAUAAUGACGGUACCCGCAGAAGAAGCCCCCGGCUAACUUCGUGCCAGCA